UGAUCUGCAGAGUACGAAAAAGCAACAAUGGCGUCCGGUAACAGAGUAGAUCUAAGCGGUAACCCCGUUAAGCCAAUCACCAUUUGCAUGAUUGGUGCUGGUGGGUUCAUUGGUUCUCACCUUUGUGAGAAGCUUAUGGCUGAAACCCCUCAUAAGGUGCUUGCUCUUGAUGUUUAUAAUGACAAGAUUAAGCACCUUCUUGAGCCUGAUACGCUCCCUUGGGCCGAUCGUAUUCAGUUUCACCGUCUCAAUAUCAAGAAUGAUUCCAGGCUUGAGAGCCUCAUCCGAAUGGCAGAUCUGGUUCGACUUCUGUGAUUCCUUCUUUAUUUGUUACUUGUUUUUCUGAGUUCUUGAAAGAAUUGUUGAAUUUUUGUUCUGGGUUGUUUGAAGAAUUGAUCCUUCUUUGGGUGUACUGUGGGUUCUGAGCCAUGCUCAUUCUUAGUUCUUAUGGGUCUUUUAUUAUUUCUUUUAUUUUUAUCUUCGUGUUUCGUGAUUGGAAUUUUGCUUGCGUGAGGUAGA
rnacentral:lncRNA from 1 species